CCUGUACUGUGUGUGUGUGUGUGUGUGUGUGUGUGUGUGUGUGUGUGUGUGUCUGUGUCACACACACACACACACACACACACACACACACACACAGACGAGAAACACAG